rnacentral:misc_RNA from 1 species
GAAGCGUUCGCCGCUCCCGCUGCCGCAUUCUCUUCGCUUCUGAGGUCUGCGCGUGCCUGCCUUUCUCACCCUCCGGUGCGGGCGCGCAUCUCUUGUGCUCUCUGGUUUCGUUUCUUUUUGUUGCUCGUGUGCGGUGCCUGUGCAACGCGCAUCGCUGUGGUUCCGCGUGUCGCCGCCGCCGGCGUCUCGUUUCCCCACUUUUCCGCGCACGGGUUUGUGUGCUUUUACUGUGCGCCGCCUUGUGCGCUUCUUUCUUUAGUGUCCUUUGCAGUGACCCACCACUCCUCCCCCUCCCCUCCCUCUCCCUUUCCCCGCCGCACUUUUCUGACUUUCUAACCCUUUCCGUCUGCGCGCGUCACCGUUUGCGUAGUUGUGCGAAGGUGGUAGCGUUCAAGCUCACAUGUCUGGCACGACGCUGUCUGCAGGAGUGCCGGGGCAGUCGGAAGGCGCGGCAAAUCCUCAUUCAUCUUCCUUGCACGCUCCUCGCAGCGAUGCAGGCGCCUCGGGUGGCGUGGCUGCUGCCGCCGCCACCGCCACUGUCGGCUCAGCCUGCCCAGGCGGGGAGCCACGGAAGCGGAGGCCACCGCGCGUUCCGCGUACACCAGAGAUGGUGGUGAGAGUGCGCGACUGCCCCGCUUCCCAUAUGCAAAUCGAAAUCUGCUACCAGUGCUUCGGCAACCCCGAUGAUGGGCUGCCGGCGGUGCUGCUGAUUGGCGGCCUCAACAUGCAGCUCACCGCGUGGGAUGAGUCCUUCUGCGAAUCUCUUGUGCGUGCCGGCUUCUAUGUGAUCCGCUACGACAACCGCGAUAUCGGGUACUCCACCAAGAUCGAAAACUGCGGUAAGAUCAAGGCGCCGAUGCUGCUGCUGCCCGGCCGCGCGGCCAAGUGGCUCGGCGAGGAGCUUCCUUAUCAGCUGGAGGACAUGGCGGCAGACGCUUGGGCGCUACUCGAUGCACUGCACAUCCCAUGCGCGCACUUAUUCGGCAUCAGCAUGGGCGGAAUGAUUGCGCAGCUGGCGGCGCUACAGGCGCCGGAGCGGACGAUUAGUCUCACGAGUGUCAUGUCGUCGACGAACGCGCCGGACCUUCCGCAGCCGGAGCUGUGGGUGAAACUUUGGAUGCUGCGCCGACCGCCGCGCAACUGCACCGUCGAUGAGUUGCUGGAGUUCCGCGUCCACUCGCUGCGCCACCUCCUCCGCUACGCCUUGCCCCCCGACGGCGAGUACCUGAAGAGGCGGUUCUUGAUGUCGCUGCGGCGUAGCUCCUACGCGGCCGGGUUAGUGCGGCAGGCCGCCGCGAUCCGUCGCGCCGCCGGGCGCGAUGCACUGCUGCAGCAACUGCACGUCCCCGCCCUUGUCGUUCAUGGUGUGCAUGAUGUUGUGGUGCCACCGAUGAGCGGCUAUCGGACGGCGACGAUGUUGCCGUAUGCGCGGCUGCUCGUGCUGAAAAGCAUGGGCCACUAUUUCCAUCCGGCCUUCUUUUCGACCAUCAUCGCUGCAUUUGUGGACAUGGCCGCCUCGACAGAUCCUGCGAAGCGAUACCUGCGGCCGGCGCUGCCUUCCGCGAGUGCGCAGGAGCUGCCGAUAACGGGCGGCGAUAGCGCCGACGACCGGGGCGCGAGGGGGAAGUCAGCAUCCGUGGAAGAGUUGGGCGCUGGCGAUUACGAGGACGAGCCCUCUGGCGAGCCAGGCGACGCUAUAGAUCCGAAGACGCGCAUGAUGGCGUCACUGGGCGAAUACAUUGUUCCGGUCGUCGCAGAUGCUGAGUCUCCGAUUGGAAAGGCGGUCUGCCGGUCAGUCAUGGUGGCCAUACCGGGUGGCAACAGCAACCCAGCCGUGCCGGAGGCCGUCAUAGUGGAGAACCUUUUUCAGCGUGAUCCCUACGCAACGGUGAGCGUGCCGACACCAGCCAUCGCGAAGCGGCCAGUGCCGUCGUCAUCGCCCCAGUCCACAAAACAGCGGGCCGCAACUGCGGUAUCCACUGGUGACGGGCUGAUGAUCGCUUCGUUGCAGGAUGCCAGAAGAAAAGUGCAGUCGUCGUCGUCUCGUGCUGCCAAGCUGCGCUCAUCUCCUCCGCCAUCACGCAUGGAAGGCGCUAAGCCGUUUGUGUUGUGCAGCCCCUCGCGCUGGCAUGAGUUGGAGCCGUUCCCUCAGCGCAGGGCUGCUGCUGCUGCUGCUGUGGGCGGAGCUGGCACAGCGGAGCUCAGCGGAGGUGGGCGUCCUUCGGCUGAGAAGACGGCGACAGGGCUCCCCGGCUCUUCCUCGUCAGCAUCCUCCUCGGCAGCUGCCCUGGCUGUGGAGACGCCCGCUUGCUCGGCCGGUAAAGGUGCCGGGGCGGCUGAGGCGCCGCUGUGGCAGCGAUUUCCUCGCUUCCAUCCCGUGGUGGUGGGAGUCACUGUGGAGGAGUACCUGCGCAUGCACCCGACAGCGCAAAAGGGUAGCGGCAUUACACCCGCCACUGCUGCGGGCAGCACGGUGGCUGCCGGAGCUGGAAGGGCGAGCGAGACGGCUGCAGCCGUCCAGGCAAACGCCGACGCGACACUCUCCGUUACCGCGGCGAAUGGGGCAGCGGCGCCUCGUGAUGCGGUUUCGGCAGCUUCACCGAUGGUGCCUGCUGUUUCGGUCACCGGAGGCGGUGUGGGAACAGUCAAAGCAGCGCAUGGUGAGUCAGCUUCCCACUCCCCCGCGUCCAGCGUUCCAUCGGAGGAGCGACGCGCUGAUGAAGCCUUCUUGCACUCCGAGGCGCCUCAAGACGUUGUCAAGGCAUCCUCCUUCACUUCCCUGUGAGAGCGACGGUGGAGGGGGAUGGGGUAGGGGAAGUGAUUCACUAGAAAGAGCGAUAUCUUUGUGAGAAGGAGGGGGAGGGAGGGCGUGACGUACGCGCAACAUGCGUGUGUUAAGUCGCCCGUUCGCGCAGCUGCGAUGGCCUAUCUGAAAUCGAACGUACGAAAAAAAAAACGUCGCACACGCACCCGACUCCGUACUCUUGGAUGCUGCGCACGAAGGAGGAAAAGGACGACAGGCCUCAUGACCAUACUCCCCCUUUCCUCUAAUGACAUGUGCACACUAUCUGCUGUUCGAUCGCUCUUUCUCUCUCUCUGUGUGUGUGUGUGUGUGUCUGUGAGCUGAUAACGCAUCAAAGAGCACUACGAGAGUGAGAGACACAAUACCAGGAAGAGCAGGAAAAUAACAGCGACGGGCGAGGACGCACAGCAGGAGGGACCUACCACUCAGCUCCGAUGGUGCAUAAGAAUCAAGGCCAGCCUCGAGCUCAACCGCUGCCGAGUGGCAAACUGCGCAUCGCCUGGGGGCUGAUGCCACAAUAUGCACAGGAGAUGCGAG